CUUCAUUAGCUUGCUUUUAGAAGACUACGGCGGAGGGUGAGUAACACGUGGGCAACCUGCCUGUAAGACUGGGAUAACUUCGGGAAACCGGAGCUAAUACCGGAUAAUCCUUUCCCUCUCAUGAGGGAAAGCUGAAAGACGGUUUCGCGCUGUCACUUACAAGAUUGGGCCCCGCGGCGCCAUUAACUUAGUUGUGUGGAGAGUAACGGCUCCACCAAGGGCGACAGAUGUCGUAGACCCACCUGAAAGGGUGUAAUCGGCCAACACUGGGAACUGAAAAACACGGCCCAAAACUCCUAACGGGAGGGCACGCAGAUAGGGAAUUCUUCCGGCAAUGGACGAAAAGUUCUGGACGGGAGACAACGCGCCGCGCGGUGUAAACGCAAUUAAGGGCUUUCGCGGUGUCGCUAAAGUUUCUGUUGUCAGGGGAAAAAACAAGUACCCGGAAGUAACUUGCCGGUACCUUGACGGUACCUUGACCAAAAAGCCACGGGCUUAACUUACGUUGCCACAGCCGGCGGUAAUUACGUUAGGUUGGCAAGCGUUGUCCGGAAUUAUUGGGGCGUAAAGCGCGCCCCAGGGCGGUUCCUUAAUCUGAUUUGAAAGCCCCCGGCUCAACCGGGGAGGGUCAUUGGAAACUGGGGAACUUUAAUGCAAAAAAAGAAAACGGAAUUCCCCUUUAAGGUUAAAUGGCGUAAAAAUUAUGGAGGAAAACCCUGGGGAAGGGGGCUCUCUUGUGUGUUAAUUAACCCUUAAGGGGCCAAAACGUUGGGAGAAAAAGGAAUUUAAAUAUUCCCCGGUUUCUUCCCAUCCAAAGGCAAUAAAUUCGUAUUUUUUAAGGGUUGUCCCCAGCCUUUGCUUGUAAACACCCUUAACCCCAGCUCCGGUUGGAAAAGCGGCACGCGAUGUAAGACACAAAAUAGGGGGCCUCCACAAGGCGGGAAU
rnacentral:rRNA from 1 species